rnacentral:lncRNA from 1 species
CCCCUUCGCCUCCGAGACCUCGGCGUAUCAAUCUCUAACCCUCAACAGCAGGGCCCAGGGGGCACUCGAAUCGCCACAGCCUGUCUGUCCCUUCGCGGCCCAGGGCCGUGAGUGGAAGUGGCCUCUUUAAGAAGACAUCCUUCACUGGUACCCACCGCCUCAUCUUCAGUAUAGUAAAAAUCGAAGCAAAUGUAAAUGUCUUCGUGGCAAUAUGUCUUGAUAGCAGCACCAAAGGCCAGUGACUCAGGUAGGGGGAGGCUGGGGCUGCCAACUUCCUGGGCGGAGCAUUUACCCACUAAACAGACCGUCCUCUGAGUCACUGGGAGGAUUGGGAGAUCCUGGAGGUUGGGAGAGGCUGACUCAUCCUUGUCUUUAUUUCAGCUGAGGAGGAAAAGGCCUUACACGUGGGAGAUUGGCCAGUUCGUCGUUGUUUCCCCACAGACUUGAAAACUGGAAUUGAGCCAUGUAGGCAAAUGGAGUAGGCCUCAAGAAGAUCCUUGUGACAACCCUAGAAGACAUGAGCCAGGGAGAGAAAGGAGAGUCCAGGGUCCUUUCCAAACGCUGUGGGCAGGAGCGAAGAUCAAGAUACACGAAACUCAAUAUUCAAAUUCAGACUCAGAAAAAGUACGUUUGAAGGAUGUUGUUUGCCUUGCACAAUAAUCUUUCAUUAGAAACAGCAUUUCAUUCUCGGCAAUUUCCGGGGUUUGCUUAUAGAUCUGUCACUAGUUAAGAGAGAAGACACCCCAGAGUUCAUAGCUCUAGGAACAUCUGCCCCAGAGAAUGGCAGCUGUGGUCACCUACAAGUUGCAGAUCAGCCCUAGUGCCCUUAGUUCCUUCACCCUAGUUGAGAGCGUCUCAAACCUUUAGAAAUCACCUGGAGAGCUUGUGAAAAACACAGAUGGCUGGGCCCCACCCCGAGUUUCUGAUUCAAUAGGUUUGGAAUGGGGCCUGAUCAUUUGCAUUUCUAACAAGUUCCCAAGUGAUGCUCUUGCUGCUGGUCCAGGAAGCUCACGCUGGGAAUCACUGAUGGAGUUAGACACACCUGCCUGCGCCCUCUGCCCACACCCCAGAGGACUUGGCUAGAGAGCGCUGCUGGGGAGCACUCCAUCUUUAUGCCCUUUAUAUCCCGGACGAUAGGGCUCCACAGGACACUCUGCAUUGCCUGGUGCACACGCUGCACAUGCUGUGGGUGUUGCCUUUCCCACUGUCUGCUAUGACUUGUUCACCCCUUCUCUGUCCUCAAACCUCCAACACCUCCUCAUGUGCCCAGCCCAGCUGGUGAGGAAAACAGCUGCCAUCUUCUUCAUUGCUUCUCAAUUCAUUGAGGAAACAGAUGCCAUCAUCUUCCCAACACCAAAUCUUGAGAACCGCCUGCCUGGGGCCCACUCUCUCUGCCCAUCCUCUCAGAGAUGGAGGAGGUGUCCUGCUCCCACCCAAGGCCAUUCACACCACUUAUGUCCCUCCUCCUUAAGUUCUCCCUUGUCUUCUUUGUCUUCCCUCACUCCCUUUCUUAUGGGAAUAGUGGACCAUUCCCACAAGCAUACAAACAUCUUCUAGCAUCUCUUAUCUUUUUUUUUAAAGGGCUACCCCAGACCUCCUUACCCGCCUCCAGCUACCACCCCAUUGCUCACCUGCCAUUCACAGCAAACCUUCUUCAAAGUAUUGUAGCUAGUUCCCAUCACCACUUUCUCCCUUCCCAACCCACUGGAGUCUGCCUUCCUUCCUUAGCAUGCUGCUGAAACCCCAACAACUCCCUCAUUGCCAAAUCCAGGGGUCCUCACCUCAGUCUCUCAGAAACAUUCAAGACCACUGACCACCUCCUGCCGGGAAGGCUUUCUGCUCUUGGCUUCUCCUGGUUUUCCUCCUACCUCACUGGACGCACCCUCUCUGAAUGUUGGAGGGCCCUAGUCUUGGAACUGACUACCUCCCCUUUCCUACAUUCUCUCUAGCCCCUUGGCUCCAACACGGUGCCUGCUAAAUCCACAUCCACAAGCCCAUGACCACUCCCCUGCGCUUGGAUUUUUGUCCAACUCCCUUUGAGCAUCUCAAAUCUCAACAUGCCCAAAAUAAAACUCUUGAUUCCCUUGCCCAGUUUGAGUUUGUGUUAAAAUAUGCAUAACAUAAAAUUUACCAUUUUAACCAUUUUUAAGUGUACAAUUCAGUGGCAUUAAGUACAGUGUUGUGCAACCAUCGCCACUAUGCAUUUCCAGAAGUUUCUCAUCAUCGCAAACUGAAACUCUGUACCCAUUCAAUAAAAACACCCUCUUCCCCCAGCCCUCCCGCCCUCAGCCGCUGGUAACCACAAUUCUUCUUUCCGUCUCUCUGAAUUUAGCUAUUGUGGGGACCUCAUAUUAGUGGAAUCGUGCAGUGUUUGUCUUUUUGUGUCUGCCUGCCCAAAUUUUUCCUCCUUCAAGUUCCACCAUCCCCCAAUUGCCCAAGAAUACUCCCUCGCAAUUAAAAUGAGUUUCUGAGCUGUUCUUCCAUUUUAUUUUUUCAGAUAUUUGUUUUGUCAUUUAAAAGUUUUAAAUAUAGAAACUAAAAUAAAAUAGCCAAGAAAGACAUAACACCAUGCUUCUACCUCUCAGAUUUAAUCAUUGUUAACAUUUUAUCAGUUGCUUUGCAAUUUUUAAAUACGAGAAAUAAAACAUUACAAUUCAAAUUGUAAUCCCCUUUUAAUUCCCACCACCAGAGGCAACAAUAGGUAAAUUAAAUAUGCAUCAUC